rnacentral:lncRNA from 1 species
ACUUCUAUAUAGAGAUAGAUAGAUAAUUUAUUUUGUUAAUAAUAAAUUUGAGAAAAUUACAUAAAUAAAAAAUUAUAAAAAAAUAUUAAAUAUUUUAAAAAAUUAAAUAUCAUAAAAGAGAAAAAUAAUAUAUACUUUUACUUUUAAAACAUAAAUCGUAUACAUUACGCUACUAAUUCAUAAAUUAAUAUAUUACCUCUAUAAUUUAAAAUUUCUGAUACACAUUAUUU